AUGUUUGCAGGUGUAGCAUCAUCAAGAUUCACAUAAAAUGGAUGGUGAAGAUGUGUAAUCAUCAUCUUCACACCAAUUUUACUGUGGGAAUCUUGAUGAUGCUGCAUCAGCAAUAAA